GGUUCAGGAUGAACGCUAGCUACAGGCUUAACACAUGCAAGUCGAGGGGCAGCAUGAGAUUAGCUUGCUAAUCUUGAUGGCGACCGGCGCACGGGUGAGUAACGCGUAUCCAACCUUCCCCCUACUCAGGCAUAGCCCGGUGAAAACCGGAUUAACUCCUGAUAGUUUCACUAGAUGGCAUCUGACGGUGAAUAAAGCUUUGCGGUAAGGGAUGGGGAUGCGUCUGAUUAGCUUGUUGGCGGGGUAACAGCCCACCAAGGCGACGAUCAGUAGGGGUUCUGAGAGGAAGGUCCCCCACAUUGGAACUGAGACACGGUCCAAACUCCUACGGGAGGCAGCAGUGAGGAAUAUUGGUCAAUGGGCGCGAGCCUGAACCAGCCAAGUAGCGUGCCAGGAUGACGGCCCUAUGGGUUGUAAACUGCUUUUGUGCGGGAAUAAAGUCAGGGACGUGUCCCUGUUUGCAUGUACCGCAAGAAUAAGGACCGGCUAAUUCCGUGCCAGCCGCAGC
rnacentral:rRNA from 1 species